rnacentral:rRNA from 1 species
GGCUGCAGUCGAGGAUCUUCGGCAAUGGGCGCAAGCCUGACCGAGCGACGCCGCGUGGAUGAUGAAGGCCUUCGGGUUGUAAAAUCCUGUCGAGGGGGAUCAAGGGUAACUUGAGUGAUCCCUGGAGGAAGGGCGGGCUAAGUUCGUGCCAGCAGCCGCGGUAAGACGAACUGCCCAAACGUUGUUCGGAAUCACUGGGCUUAAAGGGCGCGUAGGCGGCGACACAAGUCAGGGGUGAAAUCCGGCAGCUCAACUGUCGAAGUGCCUUUGAUACUGUGUAUCUUGAGGGAGGUAGGGGUCUGUGGAACUUCUGGUGGAGCGGUGAAAUGCGUUGAUAUCAGAAGGAACGCCGGUGGCGAAAGCGACGGACUGGACCUCUUCUGACGCUGAGGCGCGAAAGCUAGGGGAGCAAACGGGAUUAGAUACCCCGGUAGUCCUAGCCCUAAACGAUGGGUACUAGAUUGUAGACUAAUCAUGGGUUUACAGUCGAAAUGAAAACGUUAAGUACCCCGCCUGGGGAGUAUGGUCGCAAGGCUGAAACUCAAAGGAAUUGACGGGGGCUCACACAA